GAUGAAGAACGUAGCGAAAUGCGAUAAGUAAUGCGAAUUGCAGAAUCCGUGAGUCAUCGAAUCUUUGAACGCACAUUGCGCCCUCUGGUAUUCCGGAGGGCAUGCCUGUUCGAGCGUCAUUAUCACCCCUCAAGCCCGGCUUGUUGUUGGAUGCAGCGCUUAUCCCGCUCCUCCCAAAGAUAAUGACGGCGUCUGCGACGACUCCUGUACACUGAGCUUUCGGGCACGUACACGGCUAGAAGUCCAGACCCGGUCGCCGUCCCCCCCGCGGGGACACCCAUUACCAUAAGGUUGACCUCGGAUCAGGUAGGAAUACCCGCUGAACUUAAGCAUAUCAAUAAGCGGAGGA
rnacentral:misc_RNA from 1 species